rnacentral:rRNA from 1 species
CAGCAGCCGCCACGGUAAUACGUAGGUGGCAAGCGUUGUCCGGAAUUAUUGGGCGUAAAGGGCUCGCAGGCGGUUUCUUAAGUCUGAUGUGAAAGCCCCCGGCUCAACCGGGGAGGGUCAUUGGAAACUGGGAAACUUGAGUGCAGAAGAGGAGAGUGGAAUUCCACGUGUAGCGGUGAAAUGCGUAGAGAUGUGGAGGAACACCAGUGGCGAAGGCGACUCUCUGGUCUGUAACUGACGCUGAGGAGCGAAAGCGUGGGGAGCGAACAGGAUUAGAUACCCCCGUAGUCCCUGUCUCUUAUAC